UGUGGUGAGUGGCAAGAGGUUGAGGAGGGGCUCUAGGGGCCUGCUGUGCUUCUCCUGUUGGAGCAUUGGGAUGUAACAGGUGUAAACUGAGGCAGAGGCACAUUGGGCCCUGGAGGUGUGGGCGUCUGUAGGGGAUGGGGGCCACGGUGUCUGCUGGUCCUGGUGUGCUCCUCACCGCCCUCUCCCUGCAGUGGGCUCCACUGGCUCUGCUGGCUCUUCUGCCCGUCACCUGGUGCCUGGGGCCUGCAGCGAGGCCCCAGCCCCUGAGCUCCCUGCUCCAGGACACGGCUGCAGCUUUGCCGACCCCAUUGCUGUGAACCUGGAGGGGGCUGUGACCUUCGAGGCCCCCGACCUCCCUGAGGAGACCCUCAUGGAGCAAGAGCACACCGAGAUCCUGCGUGGCCUGCGCUUCACGCUGCUGUUCGUGCAGAACAUCUUGGAGAUUGCAGCCCUGAAGGGCAGCGCCAGCGAGGCGGCGGGGGGCCCUGAGUACCAGCUGCAGGAGAGUGUGGUGGCCGACCAGAUCAGCCUGCUGAGCCGAGAAUGGGGCUUCGCGGAACAGCUGGUGCUGUACCUGAAGGUGGCCGAGCUGCUGUCCUCCGGCCUGCAAACUGCCAUUGACCAGAUCCGGGCCGGCAAGCUCUGCCUGUCGUCCACCGUGAAGCAGGUGGUGCGCAGGCUGAAUGAGCUGUACAAGGCCAGCGUGGUGUCCUGCCAGGGCCUGAGCCUGCGGCUGCAGCGCUUCUUCCUGGACAAGCAGCGGCUCCUGGACCGCAUCCACAGCAUCACCGCCGAGAGGCUCAUCUUCAGCCAUGCUGUGCAGAUGGUGCAGUCGGCUGCCCUGGACGAGAUGUUCCAGCACCGUGAGGGCUGCGUCCCGCGCUACCACAAGGCCCUGCUGCUCCUGGAGGGGCUGCAGCACAUGCUCUCGGACCAGGCCGACAUCGAGAACGUCGCCAAGUGUGAGUGCCAGGCUGGGCUGGGGGCUGGGGGCUCUGGGCGUCUCCCUCACGCUCCCCUCUCCCUCCACAGGCAAGCUGUGCAUUGAGCGGAGACUCUCGGCGCUGCUGACUGGCAUCUGUGCCUGACCUUUCUGGCCUGGCUGGGCCCCUGGUCCUGCCGAGCCCUGCAGAGUGGGCUGUGUGUGCAGGGUGGGCUCUGUGUGCUGGCUGGACUCCUCGGGACAAGCGCAUGGCGCUGAUCGCUGGUGCUGAGCCCUGCCCUGGGCCCCAAGGACAGUCAGCCUGCUGGCCUCCCUGCAGCUCACGGGGCAGAACCAGCACAUCUGGAGCCACACAGCUUGGACAGUCAGCCUGCUGGCCUCCCUGCAGCUCACGGGGCAGAACCAGCACAUCUGGAGCCAC
rnacentral:sRNA from 1 species